AAUCAUAAAUCACAUUGAGUUAUUUAUGUACACUGUACAGGAGGAAGGGAGUUGGUACUGCCUUGAUGAAAGCUGUACAUGAGUAUGCAGAAAGUAUGGGAGUGUACAGGGUGUAUAUGUACUGCAGAGGGGAUAACAAGGCUGUUUUAAGACUUGGACAGAAAUACGGACUAAAACUGAAAGCGCAGCCUGGAGCAGAUUUACAAAUUGUGGAGCGACUCAUACAUUCUCAUAAAGCUCCAUAGGAAAAAGAGUUAAAAAUUGUGGAGAGACUUAACCUUCGCAUCAAGAUUAACUUGGAGCUCAGAGUUACCAAGUUGUGGAGCAAUACAAACGUUCUUUACCGAGCUCCUUAUUUUGGAGUCACUCAGUCAGUCUUUUAUUAUAUAGCUACAGAAAUAACUUGGAGAUUUCUUUUAUUUGAAUCAAUAUGAAUAUGAUCCUAAUCCCUGUUUAAAAGAGAUCUUAAAAAGUCAUAUUAACAGACUGAAAACCAUGCUGUACAACUACACCACCUAAAUAUAUUUUGUCACAUUAAUAAGUCUAUCAACUAUCACUGUACUCAAACUUGAUUCAUACCGUAACAUGUGUGCAGUCGUGUAUGUAAAUGAUUUUAAAUAAUUGUACAUUAAUAAAUAAUUCUAAUAAUU